CAGCAGCCGGCGGGAAUACGGAGGGUGCAAGCGUUAAUCGGAAUUACUGGGCGUAAAGCGCACGCAGGCGGUCUGUCAAGUCAGAUGUGAAAUCCCCGGGCUUAACCUGGGAACUGCAUUUGAAACUGGCAGGCUAGAGUCUUGUAGAGGGGGGUAGAAUUCCAGGUGUAGCGGUGAAAUGCGUAGAGAUCUGGAGGAAUACCGGUGGCGAAGGCGGCCCCCUGGACAAAGACUGACGCUCAGGUGCGAAAGCGUGGGGAGCAAACAGGAUUAGAUACCCGUGUAGUCCCUGUCUCUUAUA
rnacentral:rRNA from 1 species